GUUGGGGAUAACUCGCUGAAAGGCGAGCUAAUACCGAAUGUGAAAACCGGGAGGCAUCUUUUGGUUUUUAAAGUUGGGGACCGCAAGGCCUGACGCUUUACGAUAAGCCCGCGGCCUAUCAGCUAGUUGGUGAGGUAACGGCUCACCAAGGCGACAAUCCGUAGCUGGUCUGAGAGGACGACCAGCCACACCGGAACUGAGACACGGUCCGGACUCCUACGGGAGGCAGCAGUGGGGAAUAUUGGACAAUGGGGGAAACCCUGAUCCAGCGACGCCGCGUGUGUGAAGAAGGCCUGCGGGUUGUAAAGCACUUUUAGUGGGGACAAAAAGUCAUGGGUUAAUAACUCGUGAUCUUGAUUUAACUCACAGAAAAAGCACCGGCUAACUCUGUGCCAGCAGCCGCGGUAAUACAGAGGGUGCGAGCGUUAAUCGGAAUUACUGGGCGUAAAGCGCACGUAGACGGUUUGGUAAGUCAGAUGUGAAAUCCCCGGGCUCAACCUGGGAACUGCAUUUGAUACUGCCUGGCUAGAGUAUCGAAGAGGGAAGUGGAAUUUCCGGUGUAGCGGUGAAAUGCGUAGAUAUCGGAAGGAACACCAGUGGCGAAAGCGACUUCCUGGUCGAAUACUGACGUUCAUGUGCGAAAGCGUGGGGAGCAAACAGGAUUAGAUACCCUGGUAGUCCACGCCAUAAACGAUGACAACUAGAUGUUGGGAGGGUCUGCCUCUCGGUGUCGCAGCUAACGCGUUAAGUUGUCCGCCUGGGGAGUACGGCCGCAAGGUUG
rnacentral:rRNA from 1 species